GAAAAUGUGAUAGUGGCUCACCGGGUGAGUAACGCGUAAGAAUCUACCUCAAGGACGGGGACAACAGCUGGAAACGGCUGCUAAAACCCGAUGUGCCGCAAGGUGAAAUAUUUAUAGCCUAGAGAAGAGCUUGCGUCUGAUUAGCUAGUUGGUGGGGUAAGAGCCUACCAAGGCGACGAUCAAUAGCUGGUCUGAGAGGAUGAGCAGCCACACUGGGACUGAGACACGGCCCAGACUCCUACGGGAGGCAGCAGUGGGGAAUUUUCCGCAAUGGGCGAAAGCCUGUUUUUAGCAACGCCGCGUGAGGGAGGAAGGCUCUUGGGUUGUAAACCUCUUUUGCUUUGGGAACCAAGAUCUGACGGUACCAAGCGAAUCUGCAUCGGCUAACUCCGUGCAGCAGCCGCGGUUAAUCCGAGGAUGCAAGCCGUUUAUC
rnacentral:rRNA from 1 species